CGAGUCGACCGGGCGGCCGCGUCAGCGGGGGAUACGUCCCCUGUUGCCGAGGAACGUCCGGACUCCACAGGGCAGGGUGGUUGCUAACGGCAACCCGGGGCGACCCGCGGGACAGUGCCACAGAAAACAGACCGCCGGGCGGUGAAACGCCCGGUAAGGGUGAAACGGUGGGGUAAGAGCCCACCAGCAUCCCGGGUGACCGGGAUGGCUCGGUAAACCCCACCCGGAGCAAGGCCAAGAGGGCCGGUGUCGCGAGACGCCGACCUGCGCAGGCGUUCGAGGGCUGCCCGCCCGAGUCUGCGGGUAGGCCGCUGGAGCCUGCCGGCGACGGUAGGCCUAGAUGGAUGGCCGCCACCGCUGCGCGACCGGGCAACCGGCGCGUACGGGACAGAAUCCGGCGUACAGGUCGACUCGUCCG
rnacentral:RNase_P_RNA from 1 species